UAAGAGGGUUUUGGCUGUGAAUAGCACAUGGAUGAGACACUUGCGCUUUAUCCAUGCGGAAUCGAUAUCAAAAGAUUUCGGAAGCACAGUUUUUGUUUCUUGAGGCUGCUGACGAUUGUUUGUCUCGGCGUUCCG